rnacentral:lncRNA from 1 species
AUCUCUUGCUGCAACGGUAGUGAGAAGGAAGGCAACCCUCUACCCUUUGGGAGAAGGGAACCAGAUUUGAGGAUACUCUUAGUCCAGUGUUGGAAGAAAAGCAUUUCCUUCUCAGGCAAGUGCGAGGACUGUGGAACGGGCAUUGUGGGCCAAUAGCCACUCCUGAGAGAACGGAAGCUACAAUGCAAGCUCUUCCGGUAGGGGGAUGACUUCAGCAAUACAGUUUUACUGGGACAACGGACAGCUUCAGAUGAAGAGGGAAGUGACUUUGUCCUUUUGCUUGUUAAGGUCUUCUUCCUCCGAAGUGUUGUCUGGAAAACUCAUCUACUGUCGUGUCCGUGUGGAGCAGCUUACUGACCCCAGGCUUAAACCACCCUUCUGCUUGAGUUCUUGA